rnacentral:rRNA from 1 species
UAUGGGGGGACCAUCCUCCAAGGCUAAAUACUCCUGACUGACCGAUAGUGAACCAGUACCGUGAGGGAAAGGCGAAAAGAACCCCGGCGAGGGGAGUGAAAAAGAACCUGAAACCGUGUACGUACAAGCAGUGGGAGCACAGGUUUACCUGUGUGACUGCGUACCUUUUGUAUAAUGGGUCAGCGACUUAUAUUCUGUAGCAAGGUUAACCGAAUAGGGGAGCCGGAGGGAAACCGAGUCUUAAUUGGGCGUUAAGUUGCAGGGUAUAGACCCGAAACCCGGUGAUCUAGCCAUGGGCAGGUUGAAGGUUGGGUAACACUAACUGGAGGACCGAACCGACUAAUGUUGAAAAAUUAGCGGAUGACCUGUGGCU